GGUCCGAUGCCACGUCGGUGGUAGCUAUAUGAUAGCAGUGAUCUUCGAUGCUAUAAUUGGAACAAAAUCAAUUCUUUCGCAUAUUGAUAGGAAUCUGCAGAUCUUAUUUUCCAUGAUCAUGCUGAGCCGAUUUGUGUGAUUACAUUU